AGAGUUUGAUCCUGGCUCAGAACGAACGCUGGCGGCGUGGUUAAGACAUGCAAGUCGGAUGUGCCGCAAGGUGCAUGGCAGACGGCUGAGUAACGCGUGGGAAUUCACCCCAAAGUGAGGGAUAAGCAUCGGAAACGGUGUCUAAUACCGCAUGUGGUCUUCGGAUUAAAGUUUUAUACGCUUUGGGAGAAGCCCGCGUCUGAUUAGUUUGUUGGUGAGGUAAUAGCUCACCAAGACUACGAUCGGUAGCUGGUCUGAGAGGAUGAUCAGCCAGACUGGAACUGAGACACGGUCCAGACUCCUACGGGAGGCAGCAGUAAGGAAUCUUCCACAAUGGGCGAAAGCCUGAUGGAGCAACGCCGCGUGCAGGACGAAGGCCUUCGGGUCGUAAACUGCUUUUGUUAGCGAAGAAUUUGACGGUAACUAACGAAUAAGGAUCGGCUAACUCCGUGCCAGCAGCCGCGGUCAUACGGAGGAUCCAAGCGUUAUCCGGAGUGACUGGGCGUAAAGAGUUGCGUAGGUGGUUAUGUAAGUGAAUAGUGAAACCUGGUGGCUCAACCAUACAGACUAUUAUUCAAACUGCAUAACUCGAGAAUGGUAGAGGUAGCUGGAAUUUCUAGUGUAGGAGUGAAAUCCGUAGAUAUUAGAAGGAACACCAAUGGCGUAGGCAGGCUACUGGACCAUUUCUGACACUAAGGCACGAAAGCGUGGGGAGCGAACCGGAUUAGAUACCCUGGUAGUCC
rnacentral:rRNA from 1 species